rnacentral:rRNA from 1 species
GUCUUGGCCGUAAACGAUGAGUACUGGGCGGGAGGGGUUCCGUUUCUUGCCGUAGCGAAGACGUUAAGUACUCCGCCUGGGGAGGUAUGGUCGGCAAGGCUGAAACUACAAAGGAAAUUGACGGGGGCGUCACACAAGCGGUGGAUGAUGUGGCUUAAUUCGAGGCAACGCGAAGAACCUUAUCCUGGACUUGACAUGCAUGGAUUAACCCAGUGAAAGCUGGGCCACGCCUUCGGGUGGAACAUGCACAGGUGCUGCAUGGCUGUCGU